rnacentral:rRNA from 1 species
GAGUUUGAUCCUGGCUCAGGAUGAACGCUAGCGGCAGGCUUAACACAUGCAAGUCGAGGGGCAGCGCGAUGUAGCAAUACAUUGGCGGCGACCGGCGCACGGGUGCGUAACACGUAUGCAACCUUCCCGCCACUGGGGGAUAGCCCGGAGAAAUCCGGAUCAAUACCCCAUAAUUCCCUGGGAGGCAUCUCCCGGGGCUGAAAACUCCGGUGGUGGCGGAUGGGCAUGCGCCCGAUUAGCUAGUUGGUGAGGUAACGGCUCACCAAGGCGACGAUCGGUAGGGGGCCUGAGAGGGUUAUCCCCCACACUGGUACUGAGACACGGACCAGACUCCUACGGGAGGCAGCAGUGAGGAAUAUUGCGCAAUGGAGGCAACUCUGACGCAGCCAUGCCGCGUGCAGGAAGAAGGCCCUACGGGUCGUAAACUGCUUUUAUCCGGGAAGAACUCCCCCGACGUGUCGGGGGCUGACGGUACCGGAGGAAUAAGCACCGGCUAACUCCGUG